UACGUAGGGUGCAAGCGUUGUCCGGAAUUAUUGGGCGUAAAGAGCUCGUAGGCGGCCUGUUGCGUCCGCUGUGAAAACCCGGGGCUUAACCCCGGGCUUGCAGUGGAUACGGGCAGGCUGGAGGCAGGCAGGGGAGAACGGAAUUCCCGGUGUAGCGGUGAAAUGCGCAGAUAUCAGGAGGAACACCGGUGGCGAAGGCGGGUCUCUGGGCAGUAACUGACGCUGAGGAGCGAAAGCGUGGGGAGCGAACAGG
rnacentral:rRNA from 1 species